AAGGCUUGACCUCAAAUCAGU
rnacentral:rRNA from 1 species